UAACUGGUGGCAUAGUGGUUUGAGCUUUGGAUUGUGACUCUAGAGACUAGGGUUCGAAUCCUGGCUGGGCCA